rnacentral:rRNA from 1 species
UAGCUAGUUGGUAGGGUAAAGGCCUACCAAGGCGACGAUCGGUAGCUGGUCUGAGAGGAUGACCAGCCACACUGGAACUGAGACACGGUCCAGACUCCUACGGGAGGCAGCAGUGGGGAAUAUUGGACAAUGGGGGCAACCCUGAUCCAGCAAUGCCGCGUGUGUGAAGAAGGCCUGAGGGUUGUAAAGCACUUUCAGUGGGGAGGAGGAUUGACAGGUUAAGAGCUAGUUAAUUGGACGUUACCCACAGAAGAAGCACCGGCUAACUCCGUGCCAGCAGCCGCGGUAAUACGGAGGGUGCGAGCGUUAAUCGGAAUUAUUGGGCGUAAAGGGUGCGUAGGUGGUUGAAUAAGUUAUCUGUGAAAUCCCCGGGCUUAACCUGGGCAGGUCAGAUAAGACUGUUUGACUCGAGUAUGGGAGAGGGUAGUGGAAUUUCCGGUGUAGCGGUGAAAUGCGUAGAGAUCGGAAGGAACACCAGUGGCGAAGGCGGCUACCUGGCCGGAUACUGACACUGAAGCACGAAAGCGUGGGGAGCAAACAGGAUUAGAUACCCUGGUAGUCCACGCUGUAAACGAUGUCAACUAGUUGUUGGUGAUAUGAAUAUCAUUAGUGACGC